rnacentral:misc_RNA from 1 species
GAUGAAGAACGUAGUGAAAUGCGAUACUUGGUGUGAAUUGCAGAAUCCCGUGAACCAUCGAGUCUUUGAACGCAAGUUGCGCCCGAAGCCAUUAGGCCGAGGGCACGCCUGCCUGGGCGUCACACGUCGUUGCCCCCCCAUCUACUCCUUCGGGAUUGCGGGGGGCGGAUGAUGGCCUCCCGUGCACCUUGUCGCGCGGUUGGCAUAAAUGCCAAGUCCUCGGCGACGCACGCCACGACAAUCGGUGGUUGCGAAACCUCGGUUGCCCGUCGUGUGCGGUCGUCGCGCAUCGAGGGCUCGAAAAAAUUGUCGGGCUCCGGCUCGGCUUUCAACGCGACCCCAGGUCAGGCGGGGUUACCCGCUGAAUUUAAGCAUAUCAAUAAGCGGAGGA